rnacentral:rRNA from 1 species
GAUAAACGCUGGCGGCGUGCCUAACACAUGCAAGUCGAACGAAGAGGCUCCUUCGGGAGUACUUCAGUGGCGGACGGGUGAGUAACACGUAGGUGACCUACCCCAAAACGGGGAAUAACAGUCCGAAAGGAUUGCUAAUACCCCAUGUGGUCAACGAGUUUAGAGGCUUGUUGACUAAAGGAGCAAUCCGUUUUGGGAGGGGCCUGCGCCCCAUCAGCUAGUUGGUAGGGUAAUGGCCUACCAAGGCUACAACGGGUAGGGGGCCUGAGAGGGUGACCCCCCACAUUGGCACUGACACACGGGCCAAACUCCUACGGGAGGCAG